rnacentral:sRNA from 1 species
GGAAAACCUUCUCCCAGAUACCUCCUCCCCCUCUGGUCCACAAAUGAAAUAGGACCAUAGAGCUCUGAGAAUGUUAUAGGCAUUAUAGUAGCGGUAUAUAAAAGCUAUAAUUUAAUUAAAUUUUUUACUUAUCAAUGUUCGCAUUAUUUAUUAAUAGGUAAUUAUUUAGACCGAUUUGCUGAACUAGCAUUUUUUUUUUUAUUUCUUGCUUUUAGCAGCAUGGCUGUCAAUACUGUGAUAUAUAAUAUAUUUUUUUAUUCAAUAGUUUCAAAAUGUUUUUUUUUAUAUUUAAAUUUCUAGUUCCACUUACCACCUGCACAACAGAGAUGGCUACUGAAAAACAGAGAAUUAAGCGACGACAAAACACUUUCAAGUUACGGCAUUUUAGGCACGGCGUCGUCGGCACGAUCUACUUUUAUCAUCACCGUCACAUUCAUGAAGUAGUGCAAUUGUGUAACAGUCGAUCAGUGUACAUAGGUCACAUUCAUGAAGUAGUGCAAUUGUGUAACAGUCGAUCAGUGUACAUAGGUCACAUUCAUGAAGUAGUGCAAUUGUGUAACAGUCGAUCAGUGUACAUAGGUCACAUUCAUGAAGUAGUGCAAUUGUGUAACAGUCGAUCAGUGUACAUAGGUCACAUUCAUGAAGUAGUGCAAUUGUAUAACUGUCGAUCAAUGUACAUAGGUCACAUUCAUGAAGUAGUGCAAUUGUAUAACAGUCGAUCAGUGUACAUAGGUCACAUUCAUGAAGUAGUGCAAUUGUAUAACAGUCGAUCAGUGUACAUAGGUUACAUUCAUGAAGUAGUGCAAUUGUAUAACAGUCGAUCAAUGUACAUAGGUCACAUUCAUUUUUUAUGUUAUAAUUACUGUUCAUUAUUUUAAAAACAGAAUAAAAUAUGUCCUUUUUGGUCUGUUGUCAAAAUAAAUUCACUUUUAAAAAAAAUC